GAUGAAGAACGUAGCGAAAUGCGAUAAGUAAUGUGAAUUGCAGAAUUCAGUGAAUCAUCGAAUCUUUGAACGCACCUUGCACCCUUUGGCAUUCCGAAGGGUAUGCUCGUUUGAGUGUCAUUGUACUCUCACACUCUCCGAUCCUAUGGAUUCGGGGAGCGGUGGACUUGGGUGUUGCUGCCUUUCCUUGUGGCUCACCUCAAAUGCGUCAGUGCACCUCUUGGUUGGACAUAGUACGGCGUGAUAAGUGUCUUCGCCGGCACCUCGCAAGAGGGUGGCCGAUCGGGAGCUCUGUGCUUUCAAACCGUCUUCGGACAAUUUCUGACAACUUGACCUCAAAUCGAGUAGGACUACCCGCUGAACUUAAGCAUAUCAAUAAGCGGAGGA
rnacentral:misc_RNA from 1 species